rnacentral:rRNA from 1 species
GAUGAACGCUGGCGGCGUGCCUAAUACAUGCAAGUCGAGCGAAAGGACGAGAAGUUUGCUUCUCUGAUGUUAGCGGCGGGCGGGUGAGUAACACGUGGAUCACCUAUCUAUAAGCCUGGGCUAACUUCUGGAAACCGGAGAUAAUACCGGAUAAUCUUUUGAACUGCAUGGUUCAAACGUGAAUGGCGGACUUGCUGUCACUUAUAGAUGAUUACGCGCUGCAUUAGCUAGUUGGUAAGGUAACGGCUUACUAAGGCAACGAUGCAUAGGAGCCCUGAGAGUGGGAUCGUCCACGCUGGAACUGAGACACGGACCAGACUCAUACUGGAGGCAGCAGCAGGGAAUCUUCCGCAAAGAGCGAGAGCCUGACGGAGCAGCGCCGCGGGAGUGAUGAAGGUCAUCGGAUCGUAAAUCUCUGCUAUUAGGGAAGAACAGAAGGGUAAGUAACUGUGCGCAUCGUGACGGUACCGAAUCAAAAAGCCACGGCUAACUACGUG